GAUGAAGAACGCAGCGAAAUGCGAUAAGUAAUGUGAAUUGCAGAAUUCAGUGAAUCAUCGAAUCUUUGAACGCACAUUGCGCCCGCCAGUAUUCUGGCGGGCAUGCCUGUUCGAGCGUCAUUACAACCCUCAGGCCCCCGGGCCUGGCGUUGGGGAUCGGCAGAAGCCCCCUGUGGGCACACGCCGUCCCUCAAAUACAGUGGCGGUCCCGCCGCAGCUUCCAUUGCGUAGUAGCUAACACCUCGCAACUGGAGAGCGGCGCGGCCAUGCCGUAAAACACCCAACUUCUGAAUGUUGACCUCGAAUCAGGUAGGAAUACCCGCUGAACUUAAGCAAAUCAAUAAGCGGAGGA
rnacentral:misc_RNA from 1 species